rnacentral:rRNA from 2 species
CCGCGUGAGUGAUGAAGGUUUUCGGAUCGUAAAGCUCUGUUGUUAGGGAAGAACAAGUGCCGUUCAAAUAGGGCGGCACCUUGACGGUACCUAACCAGAAAGCCACGGCUAACUACGUGCCAGCAGCCGCGGUAAUACGUAGGUGGCAAGCGUUGUCCGGAAUUAUUGGGCGUAAAGGGCUCGCAGGCGGUUUCUUAAGUCUGAUGUGAAAGCCCCCGGCUCAACCGGGGAGGGUCAUUGGAAACUGGGGAACUUGAGUGCAGAAGAGGAGAGUGGAAUUCCACGUGUAGCGGUGAAAUGCGUAGAGAUGUGGAGGAACACCAGUGGCGAAGGCGACUCUCUGGUCUGUAACUGACGCUGAGGAGCGAAAGCGUGGGGAGCGAACAGGAUUAGAUACCCUGGUAGUCCACGCCGUAAACGAUGAGUGCUAAGUGUUAGGGGGUUUCCGCCCCUUAGUGCUGCAGCUAACGCAUUAAGCACUCCGC